CCAAUAGCGUAUAUUAAAGUUGUUGCAGUUAAAAAGCUCGUAGUUGAAUUUCGAGAUCAAUAUGUCGGUCGUGCUUAGGUACGUACUGGCAUUAUUGAUUUCUCCUUUCUGAUGAACCAUGAUGCCAUUAAUUUGGUGUUAUGGGGAAUCAGGACUGUUACCUUGAAAAAAUUAGAGUGUUUAAAGCAGGCUCACGCUUGAAUACAUUAGCAUGGAAUAAUGAAAUAGGACGUUUGAUUCUAUUUUGUUGGUUUCUAGGAUCGACGUAAUGAUUAAUAGGGAUAGUUGGGGGCAUUAGUAUUCAAUUGUCAGAGGUGAAAUUCUUGGAUUUAUUGAAGACUAACUACUGCGAAAGCAUUUGCCAAGGAUGUUUUCAUUAAUCAAGAACGAAAGUUAGGGGAUCGAAGACGAUCAGAUACCGUCGUAGUCUUAACCAUAAACUAUGCCGACUAGGGAUCGGAUGAUGUUGAUUUUUUAAUGACUCAUUCGGCGCCUUACG
rnacentral:rRNA from 1 species